rnacentral:rRNA from 1 species
CCUACGGGUGGCAGCAGUGAGGAAUAUUGGUCAAUGGGCUCAAGCCUGAACCAGCCAAGUAGCGUGAAGGAAGACUGCCCUACGGGUUGUAAACUUCUUUUGUAAAGGAGUAAAGUGAGGCACGUGUGCCUUUUUGUAUGUAUUUUAUGAAUAAGGAUCGGCUAACUCCGUGCCAGCAGCCGCGGUAAUAAGGAGGAUCCGAGCGUUAUCCGGGUUUAUUGGGGUUAAAGGGAGCGUAGAUGGGUUGUUAAGUCAGUUGUGAAAGUUUGCGGAUCAACCGUAAAAUUGCAAUUGAUACUGGCAGCCUUGAGUACAGUUGAGGUAGGCGGAAUGCGUGGUGUAGCGGUGAAAUGCUUAGAUAUCACGAAGAACUCCGAUUGCGAAGGCAGCCUACUAACCUGCCACUGACACUGAUGCUCGAAAGUGUGGGUAUCAAACAGGAUUAGAUACCCGAGUAGUC